AUUGAACGCUGGCGGCAGGCCUAACACAUGCAAGUCGAACGAGUGGCGGACGGGGGUGUAAUGUCUGGGACACUGCCCGAUGGAGGGGGAGAACUCCUGGAAACGGUAGCGAAUAUCGCAUAUCAUCGGAUGUGCCCAGAUGGGAUUGGCUAGUAGGUGGGGUAACGGGUCACCUAGGCGACGCUCCCUGGCUGGUCUGGGAGGAUGACCAGCCACCCUGGAACUGAGUCACGGUCCAGACUCCUACGGGGGGCAGCGGUGGGGAAUAUUGCGCAAUGGGGGAAACCCGAAUGCAGCAGCGCUGCGUGGGGAAUGGCGGCCUUCGGGUUGUAAACCGCUUUCAGCCAUGACGCGGUAGUCGCAGAAGAAGCACCGGCUAACUACGUGCCAGCAGCCGCGGUAAUAC
rnacentral:rRNA from 1 species